GAUGAACGCUGGCGGCGUGCUUAACACAUGCAAGUCGAACGGAAAGGCACGGCUUUUGUGGCUUGGUCGUUUGGGGAAGGCGUGAGUAACACGUGUGUAACCCGCCCCUGUCUUUGGGAUAACUUCAGGAAACUGGGGCGAAUACCGGAUAUGAGCUCCUGCUGCACGGUGUUGGUUGGAGAGAUUCGGCGGUUGUGGAUGGACUCGCUGCUUAUCCGCUGGUUUGUGUGGUAGGUGCUGACCAAGGCUAUGACGGGUAGCCGGCCUGGGAGCGUGACCGGCGACAUUGGGCCUGAGAUACGGCCCAGACUCCAACGGGCGGCAGCAGGCGAGAGCCUUGCGCAGUGGGGGCACGCCAGAUAUGGCAACGCCGCGUGCGGAAUGCCGGCUUUCGGGUUGUGAACCGCUUUCGCAUGUGCCGAAGAGUGAGUGACGGUACUGGGUCAAAAAGCACCGGCUAACUACGUG
rnacentral:rRNA from 1 species